rnacentral:lncRNA from 1 species
GCCUAAUACCCUGUGAAGACUUUCCUUCCUGUGGAAAGACAUCCUUCAUCUUUAGCAGAUUUUGGAUCAAGACUCAGUUCCAGCUUUAGAUUGUCACAGAUGAGAGUUUGGAAGCCUUGUAUUUCUGCUGUCUGGAUAGAGAUUCCAAUCUUCGCCAUGCCAUGUCAUGCCAGAGUUUUGUGUAUGUUUGUGUACGUGUGUACAAGUACAUAAGCACUGACAUACUUGCUGGCAUUUUCAAAAGCGAAUCUGGAGUGCUGGCAGUCAGCUUCACUCUCCGCUCAAGUUUGGAUAUGGAUGAAAUUGAGCAGCUGAACUUCAUCUUUGGCAAUACUGAGACCAUGAAGUCUGUGUAUCUAGGUUGUGCCAGUUUCCAGGAUUCCCCUCCACCCCCAUCCCCGCCCCUCGCCCCGGUUCCUCGCACAGACGUGAGCAGCUGCAGCAAUGGAAGACUUCUUUGUAGAGGAGGCAGCUCCAGUGGAACAGCAGGUGUUGCUGUGAGCAGAGAGCUCUCUCUUCCUGAGAGGAUGGAAUUCAGCGGGAACGAAGGCAAGAAGGGAAGGUCUGAGGCCUUGUGGGGAGCAGGGAGGAAGCAGGGCAGGUUGGAGGUUGGGCGAGCAGGCCUGGGUGCGAUGGGUCUUUCACAGCUCCCCGCUCGGCUGGGUUUGUCGGCACUGUGUUUCUUCACUGUCUUUUCCAUUUCACAUGGUGGUGGAGCUGGAUAA